AUUCCAGCUCCAAUAGCGUAUAUUAAAGUUGUUGCAGUUAAAACGCUCGUAGUCGGAUUUCGGGGCGGGCCGACCGGUCUGCCGAUGGGUAUGCACUGGCCGGCGCGUCCUUCCACCCGGAGACCGCGCCUACUCUUAACUGAGCGGGCGCGGGAGACGGGUCUUUUACUUUGAAAAAAUCAGAGUGUUUCAAGCAGGCAGUCGCUCUUGCAUGGAUUAGCAUGGGAUAAUGAAAUAGGACUCUGGUGCUAUUUUGUUGGUUUCGAACACCGGAGUAAUGAUUAACAGGGACGGUUGGGGUUCUUCGUAUUCAAUUGUCAGAGGUGAAAUUCUUGGAUUUAUGGAAGACGAACUGCUGCGAAAGCGUCGAACAAGGACGUUCUCAUCG
rnacentral:rRNA from 1 species